rnacentral:rRNA from 1 species
GUGAGGAAUAUUGGUCAAUGGGCGGGAGCCUGAACCAGCCAAGUCGCGUGAAGGAAGAAGGAUCUAUGGUUCGUAAACUUCUUUUGCAGGGGAAUAAAGUGCAGGACGUGUCCUGUUUUGUAUGUACCCUGAGAAUAAGGAUCGGCUAACUCCGUGCCAGCAGCCGCGGUAAUACGGAGGAUCCGAGCGUUAUCCGGCUUUAUUGGGUUUAAAGGGUGCGUAGGUGGUUUGAUAAGUCAGCGGUGAAAGUUUGCAGCUUAACUGUAAAAAUGCCGUUGAAACUGUCGGACUUGAGUGUAAAUGAGGUAGGCGGAAUGCGUGGUGUAGCGGUGAAAUGCAUAGAUAUCACGCAGAACUCCGAUUGCGAAGGCAGCUUACUAAGCUACAACUGACACUGAAGCACGAAAGCGUGGGGAUCAAACAGGAUUAGAUACCCUGGUAGUCC